rnacentral:rRNA from 1 species
GCAUAUCAAUAAGCGGAGGAAAAAGAAACCAACAGGGAUGGCCCUAGUAACGGCGAGUGAAGCGGCAACAGCUCAAAUUUGAAAUCUGGCUCUCGGGCCCGAGUUGUAAUUUGUAGAGGAUGCUUUUGAUGCGGUGCCUUCCGAGUUCCCUGGAACGGGACGCCAUAGAGGGUGAGAGCCCCGUCUGGUUGGAUACCAAAUCUCUGUAAAGCUCCUUCGACGAGUCGAGUAGUUUGGGAAUGCUGCUCUAAAUGGGAGGUAUAUGUCUUCUAAAGCUAAAUACUGGCCAGAGACCGAUAGCGCACAAGUAGAGUGAUCGAAAGAUGAAAAGCACUUUGAAAAGAGAGUUAAAAAGUACGUGAAAUUGUUGAAAGGGAAGCGUUUAUGACCAGACUUGGGCUUGGAUAAUCAUCUGGGGUUCUCCCCAGUGCACUUUUCCAGUCCAGGCCAGCAUCAGUUUUCGCCGGGGGAUAAAGGCUUCGGGAAUGUGGCUCCCUCCGGGGAGUGUUAUAGCCCGUUGCGUAAUACCCUGGCGGGGACUGAGGUUCGCGCAUCUGCAAGGAUGCUGGCGUAAUGGUCAUCAACGACCCGUCUUGAAACACGGACCAAGGAGUCGUCUUCGUAUGCGAGUGUUCGGGUGUCAAACCCCUACGCGUAAUGAAAGUGAACGCAGGUGAGAGCUUCGGCGCAUCAUCGACCGAUCCUGAUGUUCUCGGAUGGAUUUGAGUAAGAGCAUACGGGGCCGGACCCGAAAGAAGGUGAACUAUGCCUGUGUAGGGUGAAGCCAGAGGAAGCUCUGGUGGAGGCUCGCAGCGGUUCUGACGUGCAAAUCGAUCGUCAAACAUGGGCAUGGGGGCGAAAGACUAAUCGAACCUUCUAGUAGCUGGUUUCCGCCGAAGU